rfam:Ovis aries breed Texel chromosome 1, whole genome shotgun sequence.
UCCCUGGAGGCCCAGUGGUUAGGGCUCUGUGCUUUCACUGCCAAGAGCCCAGGUUCGAUCCCCGGUCAGGGAA